GAGCGCGGUGCCUGAGGGGACAAGGCGCCAGGCUGUGAGCCUGGGGCCUGAAGGGACGUGGCGCUCAUCGGCCCCCAGAGGUGAUUCUGCCUGCAUGACGUCCUCCGUUCCGGAGGCGAGCUCGCCGCAUGCGCCACAUCAGGAUCAAAAAUAGAAAGAAAAAAAAAGAAGAAAAGAAGAAGCGGAAGAAGCUGCGGAGGCGGCGGAGGCGGCAAGGAGGAGGGGCCUCGCGCAGCGAUGGAGGAGGCAGCGGGGACGUGGGGACGCGACUUUGUGUAGGCGGGUCGUGGGGCGCCCAUGGCGGAGUGUGGCCCGGGCGCCACAGGUGGGGCCCUGCCCACCUCCCCCGGCCGGGCCCUCAGCGCCAAUGGCGCCCUGAUAGCGGGAGCCCGAGAAGGCGCGGUAGCGCCAAGGGCGGUCGCCUUAGCCAAGGUCUGGCGCGCUAUGACAGCGGCGGGGUUUCCCACAGAGACUACAGACUCGCAGUGUCGGGGGACAAAAGUCCGGGCCAGCCCUGCCAGGGAACCUCGAGGCAUGGUGCUCUGGCCGACCCCUAGCCGGGUCGCUGGUCUGGUCCCCAGGGACAGCAAGCUGAGCGGCCUGUGAGCAGCAGCAGCGUCAAGGUUUCGGUAGGAAGGCAUCAUCCUGAAAUGAUAUCAGUAAGCAAGAGAAGCGUCUAAAGAAAUUGGAAGAACUAAAAUUUGAAACCCAGAAGUGUAAAUUCCAGAGGGAUGUACUUUCUCAAAUCCUGGACCUUUAUAUCUAUGAUGAUUGGGACUAUAGGCUGGAUGUUGAAUUGCCUAUACUUCAAUCUGAACGUGGGAUGAGAAUGAUGGCUGUGCAUUAAAUGAACAACUCAAUAUGUGACGCCAUGGAGAAGUACAAGGAGCUCAUACAAGAGAACAAUUCCUACACAUCAGGCACUUCCAGCUCCUGCGUGAACGGACUCCAUAGAAGAACAAUAUAAAGAUUUUGCUGUAUGAGAACAAAAAACUGAUGGUGGAGCAGACUGUUCUGCCAGCAUCCUGUGUGGAGGCAAAGAGGUUCUGUGAAGAGGCCGGAAUGAACAUCUGUGUCCCCAGAGCCAAGCAGUUGCAGGUCCAGCAAGUAUCUGCAUAGCAAGAUUUCCUGAAGUGGAAAUGAGUACAGGCCAGGGCAGCACAGCCUGCUUGACUGUAAGAGACUUGUACAUAACAUAGCUCCCACUAAUUCUUCAUUCAACAGAAAACCUGCUGGAUAAAAGGUAUGUUUUCCUUAGUGUGUGUGUGUUUGUGUGUGUGUGUGUGUGUGUGUGUGUGUGUGUGUGUGUGUGUGUAUGUGUGUGUGUGCAUGUGUGUGUAUUUGUGUUUUAGUUUGUGCAAAAAUAUAACUGUGUUGCCUAUUUCCAAGUUUACUGAGAAAACCACUCUGAGAGUUCACUUUGCGUCAUGAAACAUCAAAUACAGCAGCCCAAUCAUUUUGGCCUCUCCUCCUAGCUCUGUACAGCAAAAGGACACAAAAGCACUUGUAAAGUUCAAUUUUAACGGUAUUAGGGGCAAACCUACCAAUCUGCAUUGAAAUCCUUUGGAGCACAUUAAAGGAAUGGAGUACAUGGAGGUAAGGGGGAGGCUUCUCUAUAAAAUCCAUGAGUUUAUAUUCCUUCUUUGUCCUUUGUGAAUUGUGAAAGCCCACUGAAAGGUUAUGUCACUCACUGUGUCUUCUCCAAGCUUGUUUUACACAUUGCCUGCUCCCAUUUCUUUCCAGCUACCUUGGCACAGUACAACUUCACCUUGGAGUCUGGCUUGGAUUGUAUUCACUGAGAAAUUGAGUUGCAUGGAGUUGUAUUGGCAUCCAGCAGAAGCCCCAUAGCUGUGCUGUGGUUCAAGAACAGGGCAGGUUCAGGAGCGGCUUUAGAUGCACAAAUAACCUAAAGCAUCCCCUGUGUUAUCUGUGUAGCAUUCUGCAAGGGCUGUUAGUCAACAUCAUUUUCUCUGAGUUAAAGUCAGCCUCAGUGGGGGAUAGGAGGAAUGAGGAUCUUAAGACAGGUCUGGUAGUGUAAGAACAGGUAGGCCUAUGAGAAGCCAUGUACAGAAAUUGGAACAGAAGUUUUAGUUGACCCAAAGAUUACAGAACAAGGAGUAGGUGUCAACAGAGCAACUAGGGCUCAUCAGUGCUGUGGUAGUCCCCGAGCAGCCCUGAAGGAGAAUCUGUCCAGACGUCCAUCAGCUAAGGGAGUGAAAAUGUACUAUACGGUGGGGCCAUUCCAUGCAUUAUGACUCAGUGUAAGAUAAUCCAUGCAAGCAUUUACUUACUUACUCAAAAUAUCUGUGACACAAUCACAUUAUGGGGAGAAAAACUGUUCAUUUGUAUCCUGGGUAUGGAGAUUUCCUAUGAUUCUGUUCCAAUAGCCUUGGGCACGAAGUCAUUCAAGUUAAGGUAAAGAGAGCUGCUAUUAGAAGAAGCUGCACACUUUGGGGGCAAGCCUGAAACAGUGGCCAAGAACAGAGUCUAAUCCACCACCAACAUAUGAUCCUUUGCUGGGAAACAAGCCUGCUCUACACAGCCUUGGGAACGAGCUAAGCCAGAUUGGGGAAUAAGGCAAGGACCAUGAUUCUAUGUUGGUUUAUGGGAGGACAGCACAACACUGACUGAGUUGUUUAUAGGCUAUAGGCUAUGCCUGCUAUGUACAUAUCCCACUCAACAUUUGUUUUUAUGCCUUCAGAGAAUCCUGGGGGGUCUUUAUAUUAAGGAUUACCUCAGAAAGUAAACACUUGACUGCAAUGUACUAUGCUUAUAUUGUGUGAACACACAUGUGUUCUGUGUUUGGGAGUGUGUAUUAGUGUUUCUGUGUGUCUGUGUGUGUUUGUAUGUGCACACAGGUAUGCAUGCCUCCACUGACAUUACACUCAUCUAAUGACCAGAAUAAGGAAGGAUUAGAGGAAACAAUGCAGGACACUCUGAAGCAGAGAGAACUGAUCACCCAGGAAAGUGACUUGGGAGAAACAGUGUAGAAGAAUUGUGACAUCUUUGAGAUCAGGUCUAAAAUUCUCCAGCGAAACUCGAACAUGGCAUAGACCAGAACAAGAUCUCCCUUGGAGAGCAGUGCCACAGGAGGAGUCUAAGUGUGCACAACAAAUACACCACUAUUACAUCGCAUCCUUAAUAUCCAUAGCAGUUGUGGGCUGCAUUUUCCUACUUUAGUUUGAUUUCUUUGGAUUGAAUAGGCCAUACUUUCAUCUCGGCUCUCCCGAGCAAGCGUGCACAUUUGAAGAAGCGUGCACAGAGAAGAGCUGAUGCACAUCAAUCGAGAACUGCUGAGCAUCCAGGAAGAGUGUGCACAUGUACAUUUGUACUUGUCCUGAAGGGUCACCCAGAAGAGUUUCAUGGAGAUCAGUCCACAACAUUGGAAAAACUUUGAGUCAAAGACUGUCAUAUGUUUUAUACUCAGUAUUGGAUGGCUUUGUCCUUCAUACCCUCACUCCAACAAGGCAGACCUACUUACAUUCCCCUUGAAAAGAUUAUUACCAUCAGUAACUGCUUGUCUACUGUGUUUCCAAGGCAAGUCAUUGGCUAUAAGUCAAUUCUGCAAACGAG
rnacentral:lncRNA from 1 species